rnacentral:rRNA from 1 species
UACAGAGGGGGCAAGCGUUGUCCGGAAUUACUGGGCGUACAGCGCGCGCAGGCGGACCGCCACGUGCCGUGUGACAAGCCACUGCUCAACAGUGGAGGGCCAUGGUACACGAGCAGUCUGGAGGCAGGGAGAGGGAUGUGGAAUGCCCGGUGGAGCGGUGAAAUGCGUAGAGAUCGGGCGGAACACCAGCGGCGAAGGCGGCAUCCUGGUCCUGUUCUGACGCUGAGGCGCGAGAGCGUGGGGAGCGAACUGG